ACCAACUCAAUACAGCUCAACACAGCUGAACAAUACAUAAAGAAGAAUAGAUGGGGGAAAUGAUGCUAUAACUCUCAAAACGACAGGCCAGGUCGUUACAAAAAACCUUCCUAAAUCCUUUGAAUUUCGGAUCUAAAAAGGCCGAAAAAUCCUAAAUCUGUCCUUUUUUGAUUUCUCCUCAAUCUCGGCUCGUUUGAACUUGAAAUUUACAUCAACUAAUUGCUCUUGAUGAGAUCAAUCAACUGAUGUUAGUCUUGGUUCAUCUCACGGCCACCGAAUUCCGACUAACUCACCACUGGCCGGCUAAAGCUUCAUCGCCAUCAUUGUUAGUCAAUUCGCCUCAAUUGCCGUCUCUUUUAGAAUCCAAAUCAGUGCAUCUAUCUUUUCCUUUCUUUUGUUUCUUUUUCUGUUUCAGAUUAUCACUUUGGUGUUAAUUUCUUUUGAUUAGAUUAGUUAUUAAUUUGUUUAAACUUAGUGAAAGUAAGAUUAAUUAGUUAAUUGCAUGUGUUUUAGGUUAACUGAAUCAGCUUUAAUAAUUUAAUAAUUUUGCCAUGUUUAAUUAGUAAGCAGUUUUUAUUUUGUUUGAUCCUUGAUUUGGUCUUAAUUGUUUGAUUUCUGAUGUUUGAAUGUUAAUUGUAAUUAAGGGGGUGAAAGGAUAAUAACAGAAACUUUAAGAGGGUAAUUGAAAACCAAAUUUAGGGAAUCUAUCUAGUUGCUCAGGAAGCUUCUAGAAAAAGGACUUAAGUGCAAUAACAUAAAUAAAUUAAGUCAGAUUUUGGAUUAAAAAAAGUGAAUUUUCAGAAAUUAAAAAGAGUGGAAAAUGAGAAGAAACUUCUAGAAAUGGACAAUUGUCCGAAUACUGUCACACCCUUUUUUAACCAAACUUCACCUAACCCUCUAAAAUUAAUAAAAGUAAUUUAGUAAAAACUUGAAAAAGGAUUUUAAUUAAAAAGUGACAAAUAUUGUAUUCAAAAAGAAAACUCAGAGUCGCCACCUGACAUGUGAUUUCGGUGUGCCAGGCCACCGGUUUUUUUAGAAAAUAUUUUUCCUUUUAAAACACUUGGACUCAAAACUAAGUCCGCACCAGAGGUUUAGUAUGGUUGCGUACCCGAUCUAGUUGACUUUUAGAAUAUUCAAGUUAAAGUAAAAUCACAGUAAAGCAGAAUAAACACACACGAGGCUUGAGGUCGUCCCCGCCUAAUAAAAGAAAAUGAAAAGGAAAGGAAAAGAAAAAUCUUAAGCUAACCUAUACUACGACUUCUCCACCAUGCUCGACAAGGCCUCCAAAAUAUUUACAUAGUUCUUUGGGUCAUACCCCGAUAAUAAUAUAUACAAACCCCUCGGGGCAUUUCUCGGAUAAAUUCAACUAGGGGAACGACCUCUUUCCUCGAAAUUAAAAGCAAGCAAAUAGAAAAAUUCUAAUAUUGCCUACCCAAAUGUUGUCGGCCUAAUAUGCUCCUAGCGAAUAAUAAUAAUAAAACGAGAAUAAGUAAAUAAGUGAAAAACUAAAAAAAAAAUCAAUUCGGUGUCAUGUUCUGUUAACUUAUCAUUAUUUUCAUGUAUUUCGACCAAGCCCAAUUCCUAAGUAAGUAAGCAAAUUAACACUAAUGGGCCAAGUCUCUCUCCCAACUCCCAUGGUCCUAUAACUAUUCAAAUAAUUUCAUACCCAACAACGCUAAAUCAACAAGGUAAUGCAUUUAACAGAACACCCUAGGCAUUCAUAGAAGAUAAGAACAAGGAAAGCUAAAAUAGCAAUAACUACUACAAGUUAGGGAAAAUGAAUCAAGGCCAUUAGGAGGAGCCAAUACUAUGACUAUAUCAGUAGCUCAAUCAUAAUUCUCGCUGCAUAAUAGACAUCAUCUCAAAACAAAAAAUUAAUCCAAGAGGACCAACAAAUUUUUUAAACAGCCUUAAUAAUCACAAUGAAUCGAACAUCAAAUUGGCCCAUUUUCAUUGCAAUCUGGACAUCAUUGGAAGUCAUAUUCAUUUUUUAGAACAGUAGUUUUUGCUCAAAUGAAAGAGAUAUAGCUUUUUAGAACAACUCAUGAAAUUUGGGAAUAACAGUGAUAUACUGGAGGCCUUCAUGGUGACAACAUCUAUCCAUAUUAUUGAAACACACAUCAAAAAUACUUGAUGAUUAUAUGGAAAGUAGCAAAGACAGUGGCAUAAGUUCUUGAACAACACAUGAUUCUUUUUCUUCCUUUCUUUACUUUUACAUGUACCUAACAAUUUAAGAGAAUUGAAGAUCCUUCACGACUCAUUACAAGUUUAAACCAGCCGAAGGAAAGCAAAACAACAUACCAACAACCUCAUUUCUCGAAUCAUAAGGGACUACAAAACACUAUUUCAACCUUAAGGUCGAUUCACCAUCAAAUCCAAUUGGGAUAACGAGUUAAUAUAUAACCAGAACCACCUUUCAAUCCACAUAAAGCAAAAUCCUAGCAUUAAAGGUUGGGACAUGAAGAAAAAUCAAAUAACAGAACCUCGUUAAAGAAAAAAAAAUCUAUCACAAUGAACUUGAGUUAAUCUUUCAAAACUGUUAGUAUUUACCAUAUUUCAAAACUGGCAACUCAUUCAACGUUAUUCACCAAAGAAUACAGAAGGUCGGCAAAGCGAUACCAUGGAAUCAAACACAUUUCUAAUUCAUUCAAACUCUUAUGAAGAGACUCGCCAAAAGGAAACUCAUAGAGUAACAAUAACCAGCAGCCAAAAUCAGCAAGAAAAAUCAGUUAAAUCUGAAACUACUACUGAUUAGUCUAUCUUAAAUGGCUCCCUCUAUGGCUUUGAUUCAUAAUACACACAAGAGUAGGAGGAAGAAAUGAACCUGAAAGCGCUCUUAAUUAAUUCUGAUCGCAAUCAAAUACACUUAAAUAUGGCAGUGAAGAUCCACGACAAACAACAUCCAAGAAAGAGGAACUCGCGAUCUCGAACGGACCUCAACUGGCAAGCAAUCGACGACUCGAGCGACCUCGAUUCAAUACCAAAACUCAAAUUGAAACUCAAAAAUUGAAAAGCAGUAAAGGGAUGAAAACAUAUAUUUUGUGUUAGUUUUUUCGGAUCUUUCCGAAAAUAAAGGACUCAAAAUAAAAACCUAAAACCCUAGCUUUUUCUGUCAAGAAAUACCCCCUUUCAAUCUCUGUCCAGACCCAAAUAUAUAGCCCUCUCUCGAAGCUUCUCUCCUUCCUUUGCAAGAAAUAGCAAAAACCCUUCAAAAAUCCGAAAAUCCCACCAAAAUUCCGAAAAUUUCCUUCUUUUUGGUAAAAAUCUGGACAAAUGGAGGGGUAUGAUUAAUUUUCAUUAAUCAUAUCCUACCCUUCGUCCAUCAUCUAUCGUUGAAAGAGAUUCACGUAUGAGAGAGCAAAAUACAACGUAGAUUCGAACCAAAAUCGGUUAUUUGUCAGGCCACGUGGAAGAAAGAGAGAAGGGAAAGGGGGACCAUGAGUUAACUCGCCGGGUUGGCAAGUUUUUCCGGUGAGUUUGGGGUAAAGGAUGCGGGCAGAGACGGGGAAGGGGGGCGCCGAUUUGGGUAGUCUUU
rnacentral:lncRNA from 1 species